CUUGACCGAGGUGAUCCAGAGCGGGUGCUCCGCCGGACGGCCCCGGCCGUACGUCUCCAGCAGCGCCUGCGCCUC
rnacentral:antisense_RNA from 1 species